AACGAACGCUGGCGGCAUGCCUAAUACAUGCAAGUCGAACGAUCUCUUCGGAGAUAGUGGCGCACGGGUGCGUAACGCGUGGGAAUCUGCCCUUGGGUUCGGAAUAACGUCGGGAAACUGACGCUAAUACCGGAUGAUGACGUAAGUCCAAAGAUUUAUCGCCCAGGGAUGAGCCCGCGUAGGAUUAGCUAGUUGGUAAGGUAAAGGCUUACCAAGGCGACGAUCCUUAGCUGGUCUGAGAGGAUGAUCAGCCACACUGGGACUGAGACACGGCCCAGACUCCUACGGGAGGCAGCAGUAGGGAAUAUUGGACAAUGGGGGCAACCCUGAUCCAGCAAUGCCGCGUGAGUGAUGAAGGCCUUAGGGUUGUAAAGCUCUUUUACCCGGGAUGAUAAUGACAGUACCGGGAGAAUAAGCCCCGGCUAACUCCGUGCCAGCCGCCGCAGUAAUAC
rnacentral:rRNA from 1 species